CCACUUGCCAGAGAUCUGGGGAGAAGCCAAGAGCUGAUGAUAGAGGCCAGGAGCUGAAUCCCCCUGCUAGCCAGCCAGCCCCUGCCAGGGGAACAGGAAGGUGGCCUCUUUUCUCACCAGGAGGUGCCCGGGCCUGGACAGCGCCCAGCACUGCAGAUGAGGCUUCCACAGCCCGCCAGCAUUUCUACCGGACCGGGGCAGAUCUUUAGCCCUAUGAAGAAAUACUUCCAAAAAGUCUUCUUAUGUUAUGCUUACAGUUUUAUAUCCUUAUUCAUUUCAUAGAUUUUGAGUCAUUU